rnacentral:rRNA from 1 species
GGAGGCAGCAGUAGGGAAUCUUCCGCAAUGGGCGAAAGCCUGACGGAGCGACGCCGCGUGAGCGAGGAAGGCCUUCGGGUCGUAAAGCUCUGUUGUCAGGGAAGAAGGCGCGCCGUUCGAACAGGGCGGCGCGGUGACGGUACCUGACGAGGAAGCGCCCCGGCUAACUACGUGCCAGCAGCCGCGGUAAU